CACUGAAAAUUUAAAUUAGUCACUAUGACUAUUCAGUUAGUCAAAUAUUAGCCGAAAGGUAGUCAACAGCAUAUAUGACUACCCAUCAAGUCAUUGUGACUACCUGCACGGUCAAUUUGACUUUGUUAGUGGUCACAGCACCACGUGGUGUAGAGUAUCAGUUUUCACGCGCACUCUUUCGCGUUCCCUUUGUUCCCUAGAUCGUGUAGAUGUAAACAAACCAGGAGGCAUGAAACUGUUAUUUUGUCAAUUAAACCAAUUGUUUAAACAAAUGAAGACAUUGCUAUAUUUGUAUGAACACAGCUGAGAGAUUUUUGACCAGAGAGAAUAUUACACUGACACAUGCAGAGUUGAUACCGACAAAAUAUCUAAAAUUAACACUUCAAAUUCUGACAUACUGAAAAUGUAUAAAUUAUAUAUUGAAGUUGGGAUAUCAUAAUGUAUGUAACAAUGAGUUUAUAAUAAAUAUAUUUUCUUUAUUUGA